rnacentral:rRNA from 1 species
AUUGAACGCUGGCGGCAGGCCUAACACAUGCAAGUCGAGCGGAUGAAGGGAGCUUGCUCCUGGAUUCAGCGGCGGACGGGUGAGUAAUGCCUAGGAAUCUGCCUGGUAGUGGGGGAUAACGUCCGGAAACGGGCGCUAAUACCGCAUACGUCCUGAGGGAGAAAGUGGGGGAUCUUCGGACCUCACGCUAUCAGAUGAGCCUAGGUCGGAUUAGCUAGUUGGUGGGGUAAAGGCCUACCAAGGCGACGAUCCGUAACUGGUCUGAGAGGAUGAUCAGUCACACUGGAACUGAGACACGGUCCAGACUCCUACGGGAGGCAGCAGUGGGGAAUAUUGGACAAUGGGCGAAAGCCUGAUCCAGCAAUGCCGCGUGUGUGAAGAAGGUCUUCGGAUUGUAAAGCACUUUAAGUUGGGAGGAAGAGCAGUAAGUUAAUACAUUGCUGUUUUGACGUUACCAACAGAAUAAGCACCGGCUAACUUCGUG